AUUGAACGCUGGCGGCAGGCCUAACACAUGCAAGUCGAACGAGUGGCGGACGGGUGAGUAAUGUCUGGGAAACUGCCUGAUGGAGGGGGAUAACUACUGGAAACGGUAGCUAAUACCGCAUAACAUCAGUUGUGCCCAGAUGGGAUUAGCUGGUUGGGGGGGUAACGGCUCACCAGGGCGACGAUCCAUAGCUGGUCGGAGAGGUUGACCAGCCACACUGGACCUGAGACACGGGCCAGACUCCUACGGGAGGCAGCAGUGGGGAAUAUUGCACAAUGGGCGCAAGCCUGAUGGAGCCAUGCCGCGUGUAUGAAGAAGGCCGUCGGGUUGUAAAGUACUUUCAGCGGGGAGGCGUUACCCGCAGAAGAAGCACCGGCUAACUCCGUGCCAGCAGCCGCGGUAAUAC
rnacentral:rRNA from 1 species